rnacentral:rRNA from 1 species
AACGUAGGAGGCGAGCGUUAUCCGGAUUUACUGGGUGUAAAGCGUGUGCAGGCGGUUUGAUAAGUUGGGUGUGAAAGCUCCUGGCUCAACUGGGAGAGGUCGCUCAAGACUGUCAGACUAGAGCGUGGUAGGGGAAGGCGGAAUUCCGGGUGUAGUGGUGAAAUGCGUAGAUAUCCGGAGGAACACCAGUGGCGAAAGCGGCCUUCUGGGCCACGACUGACGCUCAGACACGAAAGCUAGGGGAGCAAACGGG